rnacentral:rRNA from 1 species
CCUACGGGAGACUGCAGUGAGGAAUAUUGGUCAAUGGACGCAAGUCUGAACCAGCCAAGCCGCGUGAAGGAAGACGGUACAGAGCGUCGUAAACUGCUUUUGUCAGGGGACAAAGACAGGUACGCGUACCUGGCUGAAUGUAUCUGAAGAAUAAGCAUCGGCUAACUCCGUGCCAGCCGCCGCGGUAAUACGGAGGAUUCGAGCGUUAUCCGGAUUUAUUGGGUUUAAAGGGUGCGUAGGCGGUCGGUUAAGUUAGAGGUGAAAUCCCGGGGCUCAACGCCGGGACUGCCUUUGAUACUGGUCGUCUCGAGGUGGGUGACAGUAGGCGGAAUGUAUGGUGUAGCGGUGAAAUGCAUAGAGAUCGCACAGAACACCGAUUGCGAAGGCAGCAUACCGGG